AUGAAAAUAUUAAGCUGGAACAGCCGCGGGAUAGGCGAUCCAGCGACAGUUCUUGAGCUCCGCGAUCUCGUGGAGAUUAGCUCAUCAUCUAUUUUAUGUUUAGUUGAAACUCAGUUGCAAAAGAGUCGUGUGGAAGGUCUUUGGAUGUCUUUAGGUUUUGAUUUCAGUUUUGGAGUAGGGAGUAGUGGUCGCAGUGGCGGCCUUUAUAUCUUUUGGAAGAACUCUUUGGAUGUUGAAAUAAAAAACUAUUCUGAGUAUCAUGUUGACACCUGGGUCACGGAACCUGGGAAGGAGCAAUGGAGGAUGACAUGCUUUUACGGGGAAGCGACCAGGAGCUUGCGCUACAAGACAUGGAAUACUAUGAAGCGUUUGAGAGGGGAGAGCACCCUCCCUUGGAUGUGCAUAGGCGAUUUUAACGAGAUUCUGAGGCCUGAAGAGCAACAUGGCCCUAAUGAGCGUGAUAGCUCUCAGAUCGAAGCUUUUCGGGAUGCAGUGGACGUGUGUGGUCUAGCGGAUUUGGGUUACCGCGGUUUGGACUGGACUUGGGAGAAGAAGGUAGCCGGAGGACAUUAUUGCCGCGUUCGGCUGGACAGAGUUUCGGCAUCACCUUGCUAG
rnacentral:rRNA from 1 species